rnacentral:rRNA from 1 species
CCUACGGGUGGCAGCAGUGAGGAAUAUUGGUCAAUGGACGCAAGUCUGAACCAGCCAUGCCGCGUGCAGGAAGACGGCUCUAUGAGUUGUAAACUGCUUUUGUACGAGGGUAAACGCAUAUACGCGUAUCUGUCUGAAAGUAUCGUACGAAUAAGGAUCGGCUAACUCCGUGCCAGCAGCCGCGGUAAUACGGAGGAUUCAAGCGUUAUCCGGAUUUAUUGGGUUUAAAGGGUGCGUAGGCGGUCGGAUAAGUUAGAUGUGAAAUCCCGAGGCUCAACUUCGGAAUUGCCUGUGAUACUGUUAGGCUAGAGAGUAGUUGAGGUAGGCGGAAUGUAUGGUGUAGCGGUGAAAUGCUUAGAGAUCAUACAGAACACCGAUUGCGAAGGCAGCUCACCAAGCUACUUCUGACGUUGAGGCACGAAAGCGUGGGGAGCAAACAGGAUUAGAUACCCUUGUAGUC